rnacentral:misc_RNA from 1 species
GAUGAAGAACGUAGCGAAAUGCGAUACGUAAUGUGAAUUGCAGAAUUCAGUGAAUCAUCGAAUCUUUGAACGCAUAUUGCGCUCUCUGGUAUUCCGGAGAGCAUGCUUGUUUGAGUAUCAGUAAACACCUCAACUUCCAUAUCUUUUUUGAAAUGGGAGUUGGACUUGAGUGGUCCCAACGCUUUUCCUCACCGAAAAGUGGCGGGUUACUUGAAAUGCAGGUGCAGCUGGACUUUUCUCUGAGCUAUAAGCAUAUCUAUUUAGUCUGCCUAAAAAACAGAUUAUUACCUUUGCUGCAGCUAACAUAAAGGAGAUUAGUUCUUGUGCUGACUGAUGCAGGAUUCACAAAGACAGGCUUCGGCCGACUUUGUAAACUCGAUCUCAAAUCAAGUAAGACUACCCGCUGAACUUAAGCAUAUCAAUAAGCGGAGGA